rnacentral:rRNA from 1 species
UACGUAGGGUGCAAGCGUUGUCCGGAAUUAUUGGGCGUAAAGAGCUCGUAGGCGGUCUGUCACGUCUGCUGUGAAAACUCGGGGCUUAACCCCGGGCCUGCAGUGGGUACGGGCAGACUAGAGUGCGGUAGGGGAGACUGGAAUUCCUGGUGUAGCGGUGAAAUGCGCAGAUAUCAGGAGGAACACCGGUGGCGAAGGCGGGUCUCUGGGCCGUAACUGACGCUGAGGAGCGAAAGCGUGGGGAGCGGACAGG